GAGCCGACUGGACGCCGCCCGUUAAAGCCGCUCGGCGUCGCCGGGGCCAAGCCCGGGCUUCGUAGACGACUCACAGAAACAGGGACGACUGAUGGGCCCCCCACCCCUCGAACAAGUGACAAAAGCGAUCACUCCGCUUUAGGAAGACGCACUUAAAUGUUCCUUUCACCUCGUUGCAUCAAUGAUUUCCUUCACGUAAACAUAAACCGUUAGAUGUGAAUGAAGAUCACGAGCUGAAGGUGGGCCUACAGUGAGAGUAGGAAAGGAGAAGAUAUGAUCCAGUUGUCUGUGAUGAAAAGACCAAGUCUACCAGUAAAACGAAGGAUUAUCAGACAAUGGCUGCACUCUCCCUGCUGGAUGGUGAACUCCAGAUAUCACAUUUGCUGUUGGUAAAUCUGGGCUUUCUCUUUAGACACUUCAUACCCACAGUCCUCCAGGUGCCAAAGUAAGGCAUCCAUUUAUUUAGCACACCCAAUUGCCGUGGGGUGUCCCAAUAAAAAGUCACCAGCAUAUUGGAGCAGCAUGCAGCCUAAGUCCUUAGCAAGAAACUUUUGGAGGUCAUGGGCUAGUGCCUUCCCAAAGAUGGUGGGAGAGUUCUUGAACCCCUGGGGUAGCUGGGUUCAGGUGUACCGGGUGGUUACACCUGUUUCUGGAUUUUCCCAUUGAAAAGCAAAGAGCUUCUGACUCUCCGAGGCCAGCCUGAUGCUAAAGAAAGCAUCCUUUAAGUCCAAGCAGAUGAACCAACUGUCCUCCGCUGGCAAUAAUCCCAGCAGUGUGUAUGGGUUAGGCACAGUUGGGUGCAAAGUCACUGUGGCCUGAUUAACGGGACACAAGUCCUGCACUGGCCUGUAGUCACUGGUCCCCAGUUUAGGAACAGGUAAGAGGUGGGUGUUCCACGGAGAUUGGCAAGGAACUAUAAAUAGUCCCUUAAGUGCUUUAGGUGGACCUGAAUUCCUGUUAGGGCCUCUCCGGGAAUUGGAUAUUGCUUUUGCCUAACCGGCUGAGCCCCAGGCUUGACUGUUAAUGAGCACAGGGGCCUGGCAGACUGUCCUCUGCCUGGACCUGUGGCCAUUGCUUGGCUAGAGCAAGGGGUUAAUUUUUGUUUUGGUUAGGAAGAGUUGCCACCCCACCUCCGGAGAGACUGUGAGAGCCUUGAUAAUGCCUGCCUGAGGCAGUUUUAGCAGUAGUCCUUAGUUUGCAUAACAAGUCUCUCCCCAAGGGGUCUAGGGGCAGUCCGGCAAGUACAAGAACUUCUGUGUAACUUUAUGGCCUCCCACCAAACAGGUCCAAGGCAAACAGAAAGACUGUUUUUCUAACACCCCAGUAGCUCCAGCAAUAUUGGUUAUUUCCUUUGAUGGGGGGGGUUACAGGACUGUUAUCUGGACUAUGGGCUCUUUGGGGACAUAUGAUCCCGACCCCCCUUCAGUCCAGUGGCCCUUCCAUUAGACUGAACAGAGCUCCUCCACUUUCAUCUGAAUCCUCAUGCUUAGGAUCACCAUUUUCCUGUUAACUGGGGCACUUGUCCUUCCAAUGCCUCACUUCCCUACAGUAAGCGCACUGGGCAUGCUGCAGGCACGGGCAAGCAGACUGAGUGGCUUUCCAGGAGCCCCCUUUUCCCACCUUCUUGGGGGCCCUCCUUUAAUAGCAGCAUCUAUCAAGUUAGCAUUUCAUCGAGCCUGACGCUCAUUUUCUCUACAACUUUCUCUACUGCUUAACUGCUUCUCGGUUCACAAACACCUGGUUAGCUAUUUCCAAUAACUGUGAAGUAUUCAUGCCCACAAAUCCUGCCUGCCUCUGUAGCUUUCUCCUAAUGUCUUCUGCAUACUGACUGACUAAUGUCAUAUUUAUCACGUGUUGGUUUUCGAGGCUGUCAGGACAAAUGGAGUAUACAUGCUAUAGGCCUUGCACAGCCUUUCAUAAAAUCGUGCAGGACUUUCCUCUUCUCCUUGAGUAACCUCAGAGACUUUGUUAAUGUCUGUAGCCUUCUGGGCUCCCUUUUUUAAUCCUUCCACUAAGGCCUCUCUGUCCCAGAUUAGCCUCUGCAUGCCCUCCGGAGUGUUUGGAUCCCACUGGGGAUCAGUCUCCAGUAACUACACCCUGACAUAUUCUUGGGGGUUCUGGUAAUCUGCAGGAACAUGCUCCUCCAACCAUUUGGAAGUGGCUUGGAGUACACUCCACCUUUUGUCCAUGUUAAAAAGCUAUAUAAGCAGCUGGUGGCAAUCAGCCCAAGUGGGGUUAUAAGUCUGAAUAAUAGUUUGCAGUAGGUCAAUGAAAGCUUGUGGCUUCUCCGUAUAAGAUGGUUUGUUAUUUUUCCAGUUGAUAAGAUCAGCCAAGGUGAACAGCAGGUACAUGAAAACCCGCCUUUCUACCUUGUGGCCAUCCUCAUCCACUCCUGUAUACCUCUGCUCUCUUAAAGGCAUCUACACCUCUGCCUUGGGUGGCAGACGGGCUGCCAGAGGGGGAAUUCCUCCCAGGAAGCAGGUGGCAAUGGGAGGAGUUCCUUCGCAUUCUCUUUUUUCUACUCCAGGUGGUUUAGGGGUGUGCAUUUCUAGUGAGGUGCUGCAGCUUCAGGCCCAAGGGCAGGGAGUCCUUGAGGAGGAGGGGGCAUUAUUGGCAAAAACUCUUCUACUGUCAGUUUGGCCAGGACCUUAGGAGCUGGUGUCUCUGCCACUGAAUCUGCCAGGACCUUGGGAGUCCUUGUCUCUUGGCGGGUGGAGUGGGGUUUUUUCCUAGCUGUCUGUCCUUUCACCACCAGCACAGCUGCUGCCUAUCCUCUUAACCACUAACUAACUGUAACCACAAAUCAAUGUACGGAAUUUGAUCCAGGUGUUCUGGUUUGCUGCAUAUAACCUCAUGCCAUACUUUGGAGACAAGAGACCCAUCCAGGGUCCCCUCUGAGGGCCAGUUCACCCCAAAUGCUGGCCAGUCUACCUCACCUAAAGUCCUUAGCUUUCCUGCUGUCAUAGUUACUCCAUAGUCCCCACUGAAUCUCUUCUUGAAAUUUUUCAGCAUGGUCCCUAAAGGAGUGGGCUUGUUAUGAGUGUGACCCAUGUUUACGCACAGAAAGACAGUCCUCACGGUUUAAAGAGGGUUACUCUGCUCACAGCAGUUCCCACCCAUCAAGACACACUACACACUCCGAUUCACAUUCACUUCAGGCUGGUGGAAUCGCCUUUCUUUCUUAUUUCAGACGCUACUUGGUAUGAGAGAGACUGUUAACCCUCUCACAACACCUAGAUUGUGAGAGCUCCUCCGUUUAGUCUUAUGUGGACAUCUCUAAUUCCAACCAGCCCCACAAGUUGCUCGGAGCUUAGGGCCCCCUCUAAUGGGCCUGCUGCUCCCACGGCUGAUGAGUCCAGUUGGACCCCUCCACUCACUCACACAAUUGCUCUCCUCCCUCCACCCAAAUCAAAAUCAUAAUCCAAACUUCCAAGGUUAGGUACAGAAAGAGAGAGAGAAAGGGCCAAGUUCAAGAGCGCCAAAUCUGGCACACGUGGGUCAUCAGGCCAUGCUUCCCCCAAAGGAGGUGGGCAAAUUUCCCUGGAUCGAUCCUACCGUGUUUCUUUGUCCAGACUGUCUAAGUACCCAUUCCUUCUCGGUGUUCAGCCACUGGGUGGAUCCACACUGCGGGGGCUUCCUGGUUCUGCUCUGAUAAGGCUUUCCACCAGGCCAAUACCUGCCCGGGAGCACUCUCAGGAAUCGUGUCACCCAAGCAGGCGGGAGCCCCCCACAGGGAUGCUCUGAAGGGCUAGGCAAACUGCCUGAAAGCCUGUGCUGGCUGUCCGCCAACGAAAAUUGGUUUCCAGUCAGGGAACCAAAAUGAAGCAGGAGCGGCCGCAAGAAAGACCUCUCGGACACUGAGCUAGGAAGGAAGGAGUGAUUUAUUUCAGCCGGGAGCAAGUCACACAGCUGCCCAAUAGCCAAGCUCACCUAACAAAGAGAAAUUUUGCCUUUAUAUAGGCUUACAACUCUAGAUAUUACACGUGAAAGAGUCUUGACUUUACAGUUUUAGAGAUUACAUAUGAAAAGGGUCUUGGUCCAUGGAGUAGGCAUGGGAUGGGGGUUUGAUCUUGUUGAAGUAAAAACAAUGCCUUCCGGAAAGAUUCCCCCAUACCAUGCCUACUAUCUAUAGGAAGGCGAUUAAGGUGGCACCCGGUCAGCCAGCCUUUACUUCUAUUGAAAUGCAGUGUGGAAGUUAAGGGGAAGGUGAUCUUAGAUGCUUGGGUCUCCUUCCUCGGUAGUAACUCACAUUGUACAGGGCUGGUCUCUGAGGAAGAGCAGGGAUCAGUUUUAACAGGGGGUAAGGAACUUCCUGGAGCAAAGAGAGAAGCAUGCUUCCUUUCUAUUUCAGGUCCACUUCUCUAAAGCAGACUGAGAUGUUGAUUCUUGUGCGAGUUAUUUAUUAAGGAAGUGCUCCCAGGAGAAGCUGGUUUAAGAAUGGGAGAAGCCAGGGAGGUAAUAGGGAGAAGACAAGCAACGUCCCAGCCUCAGCCUGAACACAAAGGGACCUCUGGAAUGUAUAGUGGACUGCUGUUCUUGGCAGCAGUUGUGUUCUGUAAAGUUGCUGUGGACAUUUAGUGAAACUGAAACAUUGCUCCUAGGGGAAAUACGGGACUAGGUUCCUGUGAGUGUCUGAUCACAUACUUGUCAACUGAUCGAUACACAACCUUGUUUUAUGUGUGUUUCUAUUUAAAGACACUUUAUUUAAUAGUGUUAAUUCAUUAGCGUUGACUUCAUGGAUGAUAGCACUAUAACUCAUGCCUGAAGAAAGCUUACCCAACACAUGUGUUUUCUCUGUGAGGCACAUCACAGCCUGCUCAAACUGAGGAACACCACACAGCACUUUAGCACUGCUCUUGGUGCCAUUGCAAACAGCAAAAUCAUCCACAAAAAA